rnacentral:rRNA from 1 species
UCCUUUUAAUAAGGGAAAUGCAGAUUCAGUGAUCAUCGAAUCUUUGAACGCACAUUGCGCCCGCCAGUAUUCUGGCGGGCAUGCCUGUCUGAGCGUCAUUUCAACCCUCAUGCCCCUAGGGCGUGGUGUUGGGGAUCGGCCAAAGCCCGCGAGGGACGGCCGGCCCCUAAAUCUAGUGGCGGACCCGUCGUGGCCUCCUCUGCGAAGUAGUGAUAUUCCGCAUCGGAGAGCGACGAGCCCCUGCCGUUAAACCCCCAACUUUCCAAGGUUGACCUCAGAUCAGGUAGGAAUACCCGCUGAACUUAAGCAUAUCAAUAAGCGGAGGAA